ensembl:lncRNA
UAUUUCCUGGGCUGCUCCCUCGGCAUAUGGAGGUUCCCAGGCUAGGGGUCCUAUCGGAGCUGCAGCUGCUGGCCUACGCCAGAGCCACAGCAAUGCGGGAUCCGAGCCGCGUCUGCAACCUACACCACAGCUCACGGCGACGCCGGAUUGGUUAACCCACGAACAAGGGCAGGGACCGAACCCGAAACCUCAUGGUUCCUAGUCGGAUUCGUUAACCACUGCGCCACGACGGGAACUCCUCCUCCCCAAUCUUAAUGCAAAUCCAUUCCGGGAUCUGCAGGCAACUGGGCCAGGUGGCUGAGGCUACAGAGAACCAGGAAGAGGUUGUGGGGGAGAAGAGCCACCAGCUGGAAGAAAGCGCUUCCACAGGAGAAAAUAUGGACUGGCAUACAGUCCCUGGCUGGAACGGAGUGUGGCAAAGCCUUUUCUUUCUGGAGUGGGAAGAAAAUUGACAGUAGCUGAAUCCUAGAGACACUCCUUUACCCAUCCUCUGGGCUGAGAGGACAGAUUUAGGCAAAGUGUGCCUUUGGAGCAGGAGGGACUGUUUGUCAGGGGCGGGCAGGCACAGGUAAGCACCAAUAUUCUCUUGGGCCAAAUCUCCAUUCAUCCUGGUUUGAAUGGAGCUGGGAAGUAUUCUUUCCUCCCUCUUUGUGGCAAGGCAUGUAUCAGCUCAGGACAGAGGAGGUGGGUAGAACCUGUGAUGGCUGAAAGGGACCUUAGAGAUUCUCUACUCAGACCAAGGACACAGAAGACCAGAGAGGGCAAUUAACUUGGCCACAGUCACACAGCAGUAGGGGAAGCAGGCAACGUGACACCAGCCCAGUGCUUGCUCUCUACACUGCUCCUGACCUCUGCCGUGGGGGCUCAAAGACCAACCUCCCUUUCCCCUGCUCUUCCCUGGUAGCUCUGAACUCCUCUCCAUCAAGAGCCCACUGCACUGUGCCAACCAGCACAGCCACCAGAGAUUAAACUGGAUCUACCAAGCUCCCUAGGUCAUGUCCUUUUUUUUGUUUUUGUUUUGUUUUGUCUUUUUAGGACAGCACCCUUGGCAUGUGGAGGUUCCCAGGCUAGGGGUCUAAGCGGGGCUACAGCCACAGCCACAGCAAUGCGGGAUCUGAGCAGCAUCUGCGACCUACACCAUAGCUCACGGCAGUGCCUGAUCCUUAACCCACUGAGCAAGGCCCUGGAUCCAACCCGCAUCCUCAAGGUUCCUAGUUGGGUCUGUUAACCACUGAGCCACGACAGGAACUCCUCUCUAGGUCAUCUUAAAGGUCGUGUCAGCCGGUCCCCUGCCCCUCAGGACAACACUAGCUGACACACCAUUGAGGUUAAAGAUGUAAAAAGCCCACCGUGGAGCGGCCCCACUUCGGGCACUGGGAGGUUUCCUUCCUGUCUAACCUUGAUUCCUAUCUGACCUCGAUUCCCUGCAGGCUGGGACCGUUUCCUCUCAAGCUGUCCUGUGCAUAGACAGGGGGAAGGGGAGAAGAACAGGAUUCUCAGCCCCCAAACCCUUCUGUUUGCCCACCUGCGGCAGAGAGGACAAAGGCAGGGUGUCCCAGGGUGGCUGGGCCCUGCGCCCAGUGCAGGCGUGGUGCAGGAGGGCUGGGGUGGGGAAGCAGCAGCCUGAGUGUGGGAGAAACAGCUCUUCUGGGAAUUGUCCUUCCGACUCCUCAUCCCCUGCAAAGUCCUGACUCUCAUGGUUAGGAGAGGGUCUUCCCUGGGUUCAGAGCCAUCUGUUCCCUCCUUCAGAUCAUUUAUUGAAUGUUGAUUACAUGUCAGGACAUUUUCAUCUAGUACGUCAUUUAAGCUUUACAACAAUUGCAUGGCCAGAAAUUAAUCUGCCCCUUGAGUCAGUUCCUCCUUAAGUCUAACCUUGAUCCCUCUUGCUGCAUUUCCUCUGGCCUGGUCCUCUUUGGUGAUAGCAAGGAUUUUAGCCUCUGUUUUCAGAAAUGUUCACCUUACUCAGUGGCCCACCUUAUCUUCUCCAGGCUGCCAAUCUUUACCCGAGUCUUGCCCUAUGUGAUGGGCGUUAUGGGGGUGAAAGGAAGCGAGGUAGUUUGAGGGCUGGGAUACAGGGCACUGGCCUGUGCCAGGUACGGUGGCAGAGGAGGAGGCCCUGGGGCUGUCCCUGUGACAUCAGGCGGGGCUGACAGACAUGGGGGCAGAACUCAGGGCAGCAACUUCUCCCUCCCUGUGACCCUGGCAGGGAGCAUGCGGCCUCACGUGUGGUGCACUGACCAGGCAGGGCCCAAGAUGCGAGGCUCUAGUUCUCUCUCAGGGACCGAUCCAUCAGGUUCAAGUUCAGCCCACACAUACCCAGAGCCCAGGGGCCUGACAUCUAGGGGGUGCUCAGGCCCUGCGAAUGGAGAAAGGAGACCUCCAAACCCCUCCGCCAGGCUCGGUGGGGCUUCACAUAUCCCAUGGUAGCCACAGACGACUGCAGCGAAUUCACAUCUACUUGGCUUCCUUGUCUGGACUUUUGGGAGCGGGAUGAUGAGAGUCAGGGUCCGCUCCACGAGGGGACCCUCCUGCCUCCAGCAUGGCUGGAACACAGGAGCCAGACCCACCUCCCCAGGGAAGGCUCAGGCCUCAGCUUCCACCCCUCUGGGAGAUUCCCGCAGAGAGAGCCCGGGCCAAUGGGCAAGGGGAGUCGGAAUGGUGGGUGGGACUCUGGUCCCUGUGGGCGGCACCCUCCCCCUUCAAGCAGGCACCAUUAAUAUAUGCAAAGCAUAUGCAAAUCAUCCAGAAGAGAGACACAACAUCGGUGGAAUGUCAGAAGAGGCCUUUGGAGAUGAGCCAGCCCAUGCCCCCUCAUUUCACAGGUGAGGACAGAGGCCCUCGCCAGGAAGGGACUUGCUCAAGGUCACUGGGACAUUUGGGCUCUGAGGAAGGAUCCUAACGAGGUCUCUUUACUCCGUCCGGUGCUCUUUCCAUGAUGGCCUUGUCUUUCACAUGGGGGGUUUCCAAGAUCCUGAGGGGGUCAUGGGGCCCUACCAGGGUUCCCCCGGACCCCUCCCUUCCCCCUCUGAGCCUGGGUAGCGGGUGGGAGGGGAACAGUGGGCAAGGGUGGUGAUGAUGCCUGGGGCAGUGGGUGCCCAGAGGCAAGGAGGGGGCCAGAGGCCAGAGGCAUUGGUUUCUGCAGCCAAGCAGUAGAAGGCGGCUGGGGAACUUGAGCAUCUGAAGCCCAAUGUCAGGGCAAGGUGCCCGCUGCGUGUGGGGUGGGGGAUGGCGCCUGACUACACACACAUGUCUAAGUGCUCAGCAGCCCCCUUCCGCCUGGACUCUGAUAACUACAGCGCCUGACAGACCGUAAUAGUCCACUCAGGCCCCUCCCUGCCGUGGCUGCGGCUCCCCUACCCGGCCCUCACCCCCACCAACUUGGCUUCUCAACCUUCUAGACAGUCCUAGAAAGCAGGACAGAUGCUGGGGCAAGAAGACAGACAGACGGGAGGGGGCAGACGGAGAGAAAAGGGGAGACUGAGGAGCAGAGGGCCAGAGACAAAGAGGGAGAGAGAGCAGGAAGGGCAGAGCUGGAGAGAUGGAGGGCAGGGACAUGGGACACCAGGGCAAGAGACUGGGGGGUCUGAGGGGCAGAGGGGGGGAAUGUGGGAGCAGUGGAGCAGAAGGGGGGCUCCCAGCCUCCAGAACUGAAGGACCAGGCUGGAGCCUGGGCGUGGGACAGAGGAGUCCCGUCGAGGCCCGAGGCUGUCUGGCAGGGGUCGGGGACCAUGCCCCUGCCCCUCUGCCCACGUCCCCAGCGAACCCCCCUGCUGCCAGGAAACCGGUCCUCUCUCUUCUGCCUCCCUCCCGCGCUCCUUCCCUCCCUCCCUCGGGGCGGGCAAGCGCUGCUUCCCAGCCAAAUCCAAAGCCUUCAUCUCCGCUUUUCAGAGCUGGGAAUGAAAGAAGGGGAAGCGAAUGUAGCCCUCAAACCCGCUGACGGCCAGAUUUUUAUUAUCUUUGCUCGAAUGGGCCCUAGGAAGCCAACAAGGGAUUCUUCAAAGAGCAUCUGAGUGGCUCAUUGAAGCCUGCACCUGCACUGGCCCACCCACGACAGGCAGCCGGGGCUUGGGGGGCACGACCUGUCCCCCAUCUCCCACCAAACCCAGAGACCAGAUCAGAGGCUUCAGGGAGCCUCACCCUCAGUUCCCCGUGCCUAGGCAGAGGCCACCGGGUCGAGCAGCCAGGCUCGAAGGCCAGACUCAGGCCCACUGGGCCUCUGAGGCAGUCUCUGGCCCUCUCUGGGCCUCGAAGACACAAACGAAGGAAGAAAUCAGAUCGCCUUGCCAGGGCUUGGAGGAGAUAAGUGCUUGGGAUUCCUCGAAAGAGAAGCUUUUAUGGCAGGCCCCAGCUCCUUCCCCUGAACGCUCAGCUGGCCCCCCUCAACAGCAUCCUGACUCCCUCCCAACCAAGCUGCCCUUCCAUUCCCAAGCCCCAGGUCCACCAUCCGGCAUGAUCCUCGAACCCCAAACACAGCUCCCUUGGUUCAAAUCCUCAACCUCGACCUCAUCUCCUUUCUUUCCCCGAGACCUAACCUAGGGUGGAGAUGGGGCUAAAACAGACCUGGUACUUCAAAGAGCCCAGCCCCCUCCCUCCUAAGCUUGGGUUUUGUCAGCGAAAGCCAAGGCUGGCACUGGGCAGACGGCAGCCGUGCCACCCUCCCCCCCCAGCUCUGACCACACCGGUGAGAUCGAUGCCCACAGCCAAAGACAGAAUCAAUGGUUCUAAUUAAACAUUUCUUCCAGGGUGGGUCCCCGGCCAGAGAGAAACAGAGAGAGAUCAUCUGAGGCUCUGCACCCCAGCACCCCACUCUAAAUCCUAUGCAUAUUUCAGAAACCCGGAACCCUGGNNNNNNNNNNNNNNNNNNNNNNNNNNNNNNCCUGCCCAUCACCGCAUUAGGCGAGGAGGCGAGUGAAAAGUACAUAUGGUGGAGCCAAGCCCCCUCAUGGCUUAUUCCCAGGGGCCCUUCCCCUAGAAGAGCUCCCCGUCUCCACUUAGCACUGAGGACCACAGUUGCUUCUUCCAGAUCUCCAGAGCACAUAGGGGACCUGCAUUUCCAUCCUAGCCCUGAGGGUCAUCACAGAGAGCCGGCCAUCACGGUAAGGACGGAAGGAGCAGGGCUGGUGGGGGGGGGGGGGGGGGGCACUGGACAAAGACCCUCUUGUCCCCAAGGCGGGGUGGCAGGAAGCCAGGGCAAAGCCUUUGCACUGGCUGCCAAUGGGGCCGGGGUGCCAGGCAGUCUGGGUGGAGGGGGGAAUCUCAUGCUUGGAGCCCCCUCCCCUUAGGUCCAGAGCCCUUACCCCAUCCCUUGCUUCUGCACUAGGCCACCAGCUACGUCUCUGCCCCCACAACUCCCAGCUUGCCCGGAGCCCUCCUUCCUGUCUGAAGGCUGGGCCCUGACACUUGCCCACAGUGGCCCCAACAGCAACUAGAACCAGCCAAAGACCUCACACGUAAAUCAUAACUGCCCCCCACAUACGUACACACGCACAACCACGCCAGAAACUACCACCAUCACAGCCGCCACCAGUGAUGACAGAACCUCACCUCUUUACAGUGACAGUUUCCAUCAAAUGCAUCAUCAAUUCUUUAAGACCAGCAAGAGGGACAGGAAAGGGAAUGAGAGAAACUGAGGCACCGAAUUAGACAGCAAAGCAGUUGGCUCAAGGUCACCCAGACCAGGAUAUCCAGAGUUGCAAAGAAGCAAUUCUCUUCGACCCCAAAGUGCUCAAAUCCAGCACCAAGGAAAAUUCAGACCCGUAAGCAUGGAAGUCUGGCCAUCUGCCCGCCGCCACCACCCCCAGCCC